GACGAACGCUGGCGGCGUGCUUAACACAUGCAAGUCGAACGGAAAGGCCCUGCUUUUGUGGGGUGCUCGAGUGGCGAACGGGUGAGUAACGCGUGAGUAACCUGCCCUUGACUUUGGGAUAACUUCAGGAAACUGGGGCUAAUACCGGAUAGGAGCUCCUGCUGCAUGGUGGGGGUUGGAAAGUUUCGGCGGUUGGGGAUGGACUCGCGGCUUAUCAGCUUGUUGGUGGGGUAGUGGCUUACCAAGGCUUUGACGGGUAGCCGGCCUGAGAGGGUGACCGGCCACAUUGGGACUGAGAUACGGCCCAGACUCCUACGGGAGGCAGCAGUGGGGAAUAUUGCACAAUGGGCGGAAGCCUGAUGCAGCAACGCCGCGUGCGGGAUGACGGCCUUCGGGUUGUAAACCGCUUUCGCCUGUAACGAAGCGUGAGUGACGGUAAUGGGUAAAGAAGCACCGGCUAACUACGUG
rnacentral:rRNA from 1 species